rnacentral:rRNA from 1 species
GAUGAACGCUGGCGGCGUGCCUAAUACAUGCAAGUCGAGCGAACGGACGAGAAGCUUGCUUCUCUGAUGUUAGCGGCGGACGGGUGAGUAACACGUGGAUAACCUACCUAUAAGACUGGGAUAACUUCGGGAAACCGUAGCUAAUACCGGAUAAUAUUUUGAACCGCAUGGUUCAAAAGUGAAAGACGGUCUUGCUGUCACUUAUAGAUGGAUCCGCGCUGCAUUAGCUAGUUGGUAAGGUAACGGCUUACCAAGGCAACGAUGCAUAGCCGACCUGAGAGGGUGAUCGGCCACACUGGAACUGAGACACGGUCCAGACUCCUACGGGAGGCAGCAGUAGGGAAUCUUCCGCAAUGGGCGAAAGCCUGACGGAGCAACGCCGCGUGAGUGAUGAAGGUCUUCGGAUCGUAAAACUCUGUUAUUAGGGAAGAACAUAUGUGUAAGUAACUGUGCACAUCUUGAGGGUACCUAAUCAGAAAGCCACGGCUAACUACGUG